CUCAAUUUGAGUUCCGAAGAUGAAUGAAGGUCUUAUGGGUGUGGAACAACAUGAGGCUGAGUUUCUCUUCGGUGGCCCCCCCACAGACCAGCAGAGAGAGGACCAGAACAGCUGACACAAUCCGGCACUGGGAGGAAUGUCUGUUGUAAUAAUACACACUCAGCUGUGGAGACGCCGGCCGGAUGACUGAAGUGACUGUGCCACUACGGUCAACGGGAGACCACUGAAUGAACGACAGGCCAUGACCCCAUGUCACCAGUGUGAAAUCACACCAGAUCAUAAGGUUACAUCAGAAAAAUAACAUCCUAUGGGUUUGGAACAACAUAAGGAGAAGUAUAUAAUCACAAAACAUUCAUGAUGACUUUUCAACUCUAAAAGCUUGAGAAGGGCUUUUAUAUGCUCUUAGAGAAGUGCACAGUCGGAUACUGAUGGCACCCACCUGUUCC